UGGGGGAGCCUCAGGGCUGCAGGGAGAAAAUCCAGGCACAGCCCCAGCCCGGCGCUGCCUGUGGGAAUUCAGGGAUUCAGGACUAAGGGGAGGCUUUGGUUGGAGUUCAGAGUGUGCAGAGUGACUCUGGGUGGUGCUGUGAGGGCAGGAGACCUUCAGCAGGACCUGCUGCACUGUGUCCUGCCCCCCUUCACCAAAAUCAGUGUUCUACAGCCAUGCCCAGCACCUGGCAGGCAGAAAUGCAAAAUUAGGAGGGGUACAGAACAAUUCCUGUCACUGAUGGGCUGUUCUGAGGUACAGAACAAUUCCUGUCACUGAUGGGCUGUUCUGAGGUACAGAACAAUUCCUGUCACUGAUGGGCUCUUCUGAGGUACAGAACAAUUCCUGUCACUGACGGGCUGUUCUGAGGUACAGAACAAUUCCUGUCACUGAUGGGCUGUUCUGAGGUACAGAACAAUUCCUGUCACUGAUGGGCUCUUCUGAGGUGCAUCCUCACUCCUCUGUGCAAACAAAUGAGAAGUGAGAUCCUGGCUCUGACUGGAAGUGAAACAAGGAGAAAAUUGGCAAUUUAGCUGCAAAUCACUGCCUGUAUUUAGCUAUCUGGGACACUGGGAGUGAAUCCUGGGCAGCUUCAGAGAGAACUUUGGACUUUGCCUGCACUGUUCCCUCAUUUUGUGCUGUUAUAAACCCCAGUGACACAGAGCCCACAGCACACGGGCUUAUCACCUCCACCUCUGAGAACCUGUUUAUGGGUUUGAAAUGGUGUCAAUAAUUCAGUGUAGCAAUGGUCCAAACUGCUUCUGCCACCGGGCAGCACGGGCAGGGCACCAGGGCUGCACUCCAGGCACUGAAGCAGGGCUGGCACAUUCUGCACAGCGGAUUUUGGGGCAGCUCUGGUCGCUGGCAGUGUGUAAAAUGGCACACAAAACACAGAACUCUGCAUUUCAUAGCUCAGCUGGUGUGAGAAGCACGAAGCAGUUCCUGCGUGUGGUGGAAAAUGAAACUGCUCCGGGCUGUGUUUGUGUGCUGGGAGUGUUUAAGGACCCAUCUCGCAGAUUUUCUCUGUGUUUUAAUGAGUGCCCGAGCCCCUGGAAUUGUUCUUUAUCUGCCAUUCCCUGAGCAGCUCCUGCUUCCACACCAGCCUCGGGGCUGUUCCUGAAGUACAGCUCAUCCCAGAGACAAUCCCAGGGAUUUUUGCCUGGUUUCCAGGCUUUCCGUGGGGAAUUGUUCUGCAAUAUCUUCCUGAAGGACUCGGUUUUGCACUGGAUAUUACAAUCUCCUGUACUUUGCCAGGUGUGCCAAACGAGCGCUGAUGUUUCAUUAAAGAUGCAAUAUUUAGUUUUAAGUGAUAAA